CCUAGGGGAGGCAGCAGUGGGGAAUAUUGGACAAUGGGCGAAAGCCUGAUCCAGCCAUGCCGCGUGUGUGAAGAAGGCCUUCGGGUUGUAAAGCACUUUCAGUGGGGAAGAAAGCCUUGGGGCUAAUACCCUCGAGGAAGGACAUCACCCACAGAAGAAGCACCGGCUAACUCCGUGCCAGCAGCCGCGGUAAUACGGAGGGUGCGAGCGUUAAUCGGAAUUACUGGGCGUAAAGCGCGCGUAGGCGGUCUGAUAAGCCGGUUGUGAAAGCCCCGGGCUCAACCUGGGAACGGCAUCCGGAACUGUCAGGCUAGAGUGCAGGAGAGGAAGGUAGAAUUCCCGGUGUAGCGGUGAAAUGCGUAGAGAUCGGGAGGAAUACCAGUGGCGAAGGCGGCCUUCUGGAUUGACACUGACGCUGAGGUGCGAAAGCGUGGGUAGCAAACAGGAUUAGAUACCCGAGUAGUC
rnacentral:rRNA from 1 species